rnacentral:ncRNA from 1 species
GAAAGGCUGCGCGGAUGCGCAGCUGGAGGGCAGAGGAUAUUGACCCGAUAUCCGCAGCCGUCCCAGUUAGG